rnacentral:rRNA from 1 species
UACAUGGGGUGCAAACGUUGCUCGGAAUUAUUGGGCGUAAAGCGCGCGUAGGCGGUUACUCAAGUCGGAUGUGAAAGCCCUCGGCUUAACUGAGGAAGUGCACCCGAAACUGAGUAGCUAGAGUACUAAAGAGGGUCGCGGAAUUCCCGGUGUAGAGGUGAAAUUCGUAGAUAUCGGGAGGAACACCGGGUGGCGAAGGCGGCGACCUGGGUAGAUACUGACGCUGAGGCGCGAAAGCGUGGGGAGCAACAGG